CCUACGGGAGGCAGCAGUGAGGAAUAUUGGUCAAUGGACGCAAGUCUGAACCAGCCAUGCCGCGUGCAGGAAGACGGCUCUAUGAGUUGUAAACUGCUUUUGUACGAGGGUAAACGCAGAUAUGUGUAUUGGUCUGAAAGUAUCGUAUGAAUAAGGAUCGGCUAACUCCGUGCCAGCAGCCGCGGUAAUACGGAGGAUCCAAGCGUUAUCCGGAUUUAUUGGGUUUAAAGGGAGCGUAGGCGGUCGGAUAAGUUAGAGGUGAAAGCUUGAGGCUCAACUGCGGAAUUGCAUCUGAUACUGGUCGUCUAGAGAGUAGUAGCGGUAGGCGGAAUGUAUGGUGUAGCGGUGAAAUGCUUAGAGAUCAUACAGAACACCGAUUGCGAAGGCAGCUUACCGAGCUACUUCUGACGUUGAGGCACGAAAGCGUGGGGAGCAAACAGGAUUAGAUACCCUUGUAGUC
rnacentral:rRNA from 1 species